UACGUAGGGCGCAAGCGUUGUCCGGAAUUAUUGGGCGUAAAGAGCUCGUAGGCGGCUUGUUGCGUCAGCUGUGAAAACCCGCAGCUCAACUGUGGGCUUGCAGCUGAUACGGGAAGGCUUGAGUUCGGUAGGGGAGACUGGAAUUCCUGGUGUAGCGGUGAAAUGCGCAGAUAUCAGGAGGAACACCGGUGGCGAAGGCGGGUCUCUGGGCCAAUACUGACGCUGAGGAGCGAAAGCGUGGGGAGCGAACAGG
rnacentral:rRNA from 1 species